AGUUCUGUUGAAAGAUUUCUUUAAUUAAAAAAAAAAAUCUGUCCUUAUCAGUUUAAUAUCUGAUAUGCUCUCCAUCUGAGGACUACGUAUUAAACGGAUUUUUGGACCUGGGAGCUGAAAGAGGGGCUUGCUCCUUUCACUCCACRCAUCGACYCGGCAUUGCAGUGCCGCCGGGAACGGUGCACCUUUC
rnacentral:snRNA from 1 species